UGGAGCCUCAGAUAACNGAAGCCAUGGG
rnacentral:piRNA from 1 species